UAGCGGCGAGUGAGCGGCAAAGCUCAAAUUUGAAUCUGGCGCCUUCGGUGUCCGAGUUGUAAUUUGAAGAUUGUAACCUUGGGGUUGGCUCUUGUCUAUGUUUCUUGGAACAGGACGUCACAGAGGGUGAGAAUCCCGUGCGAUGAGAUGCCCAAUUCUAUGUAAGGUGCUUUCGAAGAGUCGAGUUGUUUGGGAAUGCAGCUCUAAGUGGGUGGUAAAUUCCAUCUAAAGCUAAAUAUUGGCGAGAGACCGAUAGCGAACAAGUACAGUGAUGGAAAGAUGAAAAGAACUUUGAAAAGAGAGUGAAAAAGUACGUGAAAUUGUUGAAAGGGAAGGGUUUGAGAUCAGACUCGAUAUUUUGUGAGCCUUGCCUUCGUGGCGGGGUGACCCGCAGCUUAUCGGGCCAGCAUCGGUUUGGGCGGUAGGAUAAUGGCGUAGGAAUGUGACUUUACUUCGGUGAAGUGUUAUAGCCUGCGUUGAUGCUGCCUGCCUAGACCGAGGACUGCGAUUUUAUCAAGGAUGCUGGCAUAAUGAUCCCAAACCGCCCGUCUUGAAACCACGGACC
rnacentral:rRNA from 1 species